UAGGACAAACUGCGCAGUCGCGAAGCGCCCCGGAGCCCGUUAGGGUGGAGCAUAUUUCUACGCGUGCGUAAUUUAGAUUUUGCGACUUGUGCGGCAGUUCUGAACUGUACGAUUUUUCCGUAUCCUGGCAACGCUCUACCUUUGACCGCUAGGGGCUGGGACGUCGAGAGAGCUGGGUUUGUCUAGUUUCUGCCCUAACGGGGUGAAAGCAACCUGGUUGCUGAGUGAGAGGGCAUCUGGGCUAGGGGGAGGGCAGGUAGUCGCGUGGAUUUCGGAAGGAGAAGAGCCCCGCAAAGGUGAUAAGUCAGUUACAGUGAAAAUAUCACUACAGAGAAGCACAAAAUACCUAUGAAAAUAUUGGUUCCCGAUUUUAGUUUCAACUUUAUCAUCAAUUCAAAAUGUGCCUUACAUCUGUAGAAACAACACCAAAAACAGCUCAAGAAAUACUAAGAGAGCAACUAGUUUGGAUUCUAGGUAUUCUAAAUAAUCUAAAGAAAGAUAUGAUCUCAGUUAAAGAAACUUGUGAGGAAAUAAGGGGAAAUUAUACAGAAAUGAACAUCGUCAUGGAUAAAAUAUUGCUGGAAACAGCAAAAAUGAGAAGUGAACUAGUACAGAAAAUUGAUAGGGAGAACAAAGUAGAACAAGUCCAGGAUGUAACAGAACUAGAAAACCAGUUGGUAAUGACCAGUCUUGAAGAUAGAUGCAAACAAUCAAACCUCAGAAUAAUUGGCAUCUCAGAGGGCACUGAAAAAGAAAAUAAUCUGAAUCUUUAUAACAUGAAGAAUUAAUUUGAGAGACUUUACCCCAGUUGAUACACUGAAAUCAGAAAAAUACUUUGAACAAGAAGAAACUCAAAGUUUAAGUCUCCAAGGUACAUUCUCAACAGAUUCUAAAACUCAAGCCAGAAUCUAAGCCUCAAGAUAGAAGAAAUCGUUUAUCAGAAAGCACUAAUCUAUAUUUUAUCCAUACUUUUCAGUUAAACCCUUGGAAAAAGUAAUGGCAUUGGCAUAGAAUAUAAAACUAAAAGAUAGGGACUUGGAUUCUAGAGUAAUUCUUAAAGUAAACCUAUGAAUUCUUUUUGAAGGUGGAAGAAUGAUGUUGAAAACAAGCCUUAUUAGAAUUUGUUGAUAAAAAUAAAUGAAAAGUGUUUUUUGAGCAAAAGGGGAACCAGCACUCCCUUAGGUAGAUAAGUAAUUAAGGUAUUCAACAAAGGAUUCCAAAAGUAUGUUUUUAAGUAUAGUUGGGAUUUUAUAAAGUAGAAUUUACAAACCUUUUUAAAAAGAUGUAAAAUUUAACAGUAUUGUGUUAGCUUCAGUUAAAUAAAAAACUGUUUAGAAUACUAGCUACUGGGUAAAAUACAAGGUUUCUCUUGUGGAGAUUAUAGUCUAAUAAGAUUGUUACAUUAGUUUUGAAAAUAAGAAAAAUUAAAUGGAUGCCAUUUUAAAAGAAAGUGGGAAAAAGAGCAAAUUAUUCCAUAAUGAAACUUACCUUUAACUAAAUUAGAAGGUUGGAGAAAGGAUAAAAUCUUAACUAUUGUAACACUGAAUAUUAUGAAUUUGAAAAUAAUUUGUGUACAAGAGACGGUUUGAUGCAAAAAGAUAUUAGGAAGACAUGACCUUAGGAAAGAUAAUUAUCAUUCAUUGACAAGCAGGUGAUAAAAGAGUAUUUAAUGAAAAGAUUAAACUAGUUAGUCCCUUCCUGUUUGGAUUUAAUUUUAAGUUCCAUAGGACUAUUAAUUAAUGGUAGAACUAACAGUAAAAGCCUAACAAUAUUAAGGUUUUUACAUACCUAAAAACACAGCAAUUAGGGCAAAAACUUAAUAUUUAGGAGAACAAUUUGAAAUCAUACCCCUACCAUAUAUUUACUUUGGGGGUUUAAUACUUUUUUCCAUAAUUACAUGUGAAAACAAUUUUUAAUGUUCAUUUGAAAAAAAAAAUCUAGCCUAAUUCUCCCCUUCUUUCUCUCUCCUCCCUGAUAUAAACAAUCUGAUAUCGAUUUUACAUAUGCAGUAAUGUAAAACGUUUUUCCAUGAGUCAUUUUUUUUUAACCCUUACCUUCCAUCUUGGAGUCAAUACUGUGUAUUGGCUCCAAGGCAGAAGAGUGGUAAGGGCUAGGCAAUGGGGGUCAAGUGACUUGCCCAGGGUCACACACCUGGGAAGUGUCUAUCCAUGAGUCAUUUUAUUGAACACAACAAAAAUAAAAUACAUAUUAUUUAUAACAAGAGUAAAAAAAUACGUUAUUAGGUUACUUGUUAUAGAUCAAGGAAAAUCGGUAAAUUGUAAAAUCAGACUGAAUGGAUUAAAUUCUAGUAAGAUAGAAGAAAAAAAUGGAAAAAUUUAAAAAAAUGUUUUUCAAGUAUACAGUAACUUUUACAAAACUACUUUCUUACAGAGGGGACUCAAGUAAAUCUGGAAAGCUGAAUUCUACAUCUUCUACUUUCAGCCCAAAACAUAACAAAUAAACAUAAUUAAAUGGUAAA